rnacentral:rRNA from 1 species
UACGGGAGGCAGCAGUGGGGAAUAUUGCACAAUGGGCGCAAGCCUGAUGCAGCCAUGCCGCGUGUAUGAAGAAGGCCUUCGGGUUGUAAAGUACUUUCAGCGGGGAGGAAGGCGAUGCGGUUAAUAACCGCGUCGAUUGACGUUACCCGCAGAAGAAGCACCGGCUAACUCCGUGCCAGCAGCCGCGGUAAUACGGAGGGUGCAAGCGUUAAUCGGAAUUACUGGGCGUAAAAGCGCACGCAGGCGGUCUGUUAAGUCAGAUGUGAAAUCCCCGGGCUUAACCUGGGAACUGCAUUUGAACUGGCAGGCUUGAGUCUUGUAGAGGGGGUUAGAAUUCCAGGUGUAGCGGUGAAAUGCGUAGAGAUCUGGAGGAAUACCGGUGGCGAAGGCGGCCCCUGGGACAAGACUGACGCUCAGGUGCGAAAGCGUGGGGAGCAAACGAGGAUUAGGAUACC